rnacentral:lncRNA from 1 species
CUAUAUUUUCUAUUAAAGUAGCCUUCUACCAAGGCUUAACUGUUUUGUAUGCUCGUUUGUUGUAAAAGUGUGUAAUUUCCCAAGUGUAACUAUCAUUUAACAAAAUAUAGUUUAUACAUUAAAGUUUAAGUGAAAUAAUCACUAAAUAUAUGUAAUGGGUAAAUCAUUGUAGUACUGUAGUGUUGUAUUAUAGGAACUACUGCUGUACUAACUACCUUAAACCGGAUUUAUAUUAAGGUAUAAUGUGAUAAUUGCACCAUACUAUCGACUGGUAACAACGACAUACGAAUGGUCGUAAUAACGGAAUGACGUUUGGCACCCGCAGACCUGCAGGUCCGGCUGUAGCUAGCAGCAAGGUGUAGGAUAGUCAAUCCAGUAUAGAUCUAUACGCAAACUCACGCUCUCCCUCCAAGAGAAUUCUGGCUACAACUCGGGCCAUGACAUUUAAGGCAUGCUCCGAUCCAGUGGAUCACAAUUGUUAACGUAUUCUUGUAUAUGUAGUGUAAUGUUUCUCGUUCUAGUAUAGUUGUAUAUGUUCUCUUCCUAGUAUAGUUGUAUAUGUUCUCUUUCUAGUAUAGUUGUAUAUGUUCUCCUUCUAGUAUAGUUGUAUAUGUUCUCUUCCUAGUAUAGUUGUAUAUGUUCUCUUUCUAGUAUAGUUGUAUAUGUUCUCAUAGUAAUGUAAUGUAUAGACUCAUGAAUGAACUGACUCAUUGAUCUAGAAAUUGUAGUAGUAUGAUCCUGUGUUACCCCGAUGGUAACUUACUAAUGAUGUGUCUAAUACGCAUGAAUAUGGAAGUACUUUUAUGUCUAUAUAUGUAUAUUUGAUAUAUAAUUAAUAUUGAAACGACCUUCGGACGGUUACCCGAAAUCCCACCAGACCACAUCCAAAUCGAGAAAAAGGAAAUAGGGCGGAUGGCCUUCCUAAGCCCUUUAAACAUUACUUAUAUAUCUAUACAUAUAUGGGCAUGCAAUUUAUAAGAAGUAAAACAAAGUUUAAUAAAAGCAUUUGAUAAGUAAAAGAGUUUGUAAAACAUUUUGAAGUAAAACAGUUUGAUAAACAGUUUGAACAGUGAUAAAAUCAUUGGUUUUCUAGUUAUUAAUCACAUGUGAUUAAUGCAAUCACAUGUGAUUGAUUUCAAUAACUAUAAGCAUUGAACUUUUUUCCCCCCCCAUAAAGUAUUUAAAACAUUUAAAAGUAUUUCAAAGGUUAAUUAAAGGGGUAUGAACUCACUUGUGGUGAGUGGUUUGGAUUGUAGUGUCGGAUACCGUGCUAGGUGGCAAACGGAGACUUGUUCACACGCACGAGCCUAGUUAUCAUAUAAUGAGCAUAUAUAUAACUAAUUAGCCAAAUAAUAACUUAAUGAAAUAAGUUGGGACACUCAGGAACAUGUAAACACUUGGUAUAAGUGUUAUAGGUCCUAAGGGUUGCUUCUAGGUUGUUCUGGGACAAGGCUAAAGAGGUUUAAUGUACCAAAGGGCCUUAUAUAAGUGUUUACUACUCAAUAAACCCCACACAAGGAGUUUACGGUCGUAAACCCUUGAGUUUACGGCCGUGAACUCCAAUCUUGGUGGUAAUUGGUGUUUUGAAGUGUUAUUUGAUUUCUAGAAUAAGCCUAACUUGGUGGUUUAAUCCUUUGGGUAGUUUAGGGCAUAGAAAAUACUCCUUUGAGGAGUUUACGGCCAAAAGACCAUAUCCCUUAGAGUUUACGGCCGUAAACUCUCAUGGGAUGGGUGUUUUAAUUCUUUCAAGUCCCAAACAUAAGUAGGAUAAAUUCUAGGCAUUUGUUUUAAGGCUAUGGAGGACCCUAGGCACACUUUGGUGCCCUUAUUUGGUGUUUACGGCCUAUGAGCAUUCUCUUGGCCUUAAACUCCCUUUAAGGGGUGCUUUCGAUGUUUUGAAGUCCGUAAAUUAGCUAGGAUUAAAUGGGUAUUAAAGUCUAAAGCCUUAGGAGUGAUUAGGGCACCUUUAAGCCCUUGAACUUGGAGUUCACGGUCCAAGAAGUUCUUGGGCCGUGAACACCCUAAUCUAUGUGUUCUUGAUUGUUUUCUAGUCUCAAAUGAGCAUACAUAUUAUCCUAAGCUAGUUACCUAACAAGGAAAUGGGACUAGAUAGCCUUUAAGCUUCAUUUUGGAGUUUACUCCCCAAGAACGUUCUUGGGUGGUAAACUCCCGAAUCUCAUAUAUUUGACAUGCAAUCUAUGUUAUUAAGCGUAAAACAAACUUUAUAACACAACUAAAGAAGUGUACUCACGAUUUGGGAUGAAAACCCGAAGAUCCGUGAGAGAGAAAAUGGCUUUUCUCUAGUUGGAAAUGUGAAUAAUGAAUGAAUUUAGUUCAGAAAUCUAUUUAUAGUCCUGAAAUAUUUUGGCAGAAAAUAUUUUUAUUCCGGAAUUGAACUCUAACAUUAAGAAGUUUUGAAAUGCUCAAGUUUCACAAACCCAUGAGCAUCCACUCUCCUGAUAUCUCCUUAAACAUAAACCCUAAUGUACACAAACUUAUUCGGAAAAGUCUGAAAUUCAUUGAAACUGGACUAGCUUCUAUUGAAUAGCUAAUGUUCGUACAAAAUGGAAAUUUCGGGUUGNUUUUACAUUACAUUGUCUCGAAAUAUCGGGUUGUCACAUCAUCCCCCCGUUAGAUGGAAUUUCAUCUCGAAAUUAGAAUUUAAGAAAAUAAGAAGUUAUAAACAAUUAAGCGAAAAGAUGAGGGUAUUUUAGUUUCAUCUGAUCCUCGCGUUCCCAAGUGAAUUCCGGUCCUCGCUUGGCGUUCCAGCGGACCUUCACGAUCGGGAUACGACUUUGCUUCGUCUGCUUGAUCUGACGGUCCAUGAUCUCUAUCGGUUCUUCCACGAAGUUGAGGCUCUCGUUGAUCUCGAUCUCGUCGAGUGGGAUUACAAGAGUCUCGUCGGACAGACACAUUUUCAAGUUAGAUACGUGGAAUGUAGAAUGUACGUUACGAAGUGCGUCGGGUAGGUCGAGUUUGUAAGCUACAGGGCCGACUCUUGCAAGAAUCUCGAAAGGCCCUAUGUACCUCGGAUUAAGCUUCCCACGCUUUCCGAAGCGUAUCAAGCCCUUCCAGGGUGAGACUUUGAGAAGGACUCGGUCUCCCACCUGAAAUUCCAAAGGUUUUCUUCGUUUAUCAGCGUAGCUCUUCUGUCGGUCUCUAGAGGCUUUCAAUCGUUCACGAAUCUGAACGAUUUUCUCUGUCGUUUCCCGAAUGAUCUCCGGACCGGUGAGAGUACUGUCGGAAGCUUGCCCCCUGGCUAAUUGGGUAUCACCCACCUCAGCCCAGCACAGAGGGGAUCUGCACUUUCGGCCGUAGAGGGCUUCAAAUGGAGCAGCCUUGAUGCUCGUGUGAUAACUGUUAUUAUAGGAAAACUCGACAAGGGGUAAAUGAGUAUCCCAUGCCUUUCCAAAGUCAAUCACACAGGCUCUCAACAUAUCUUCCAGUGUUUGGAUGGUCCUCUCACUUUGUCCGUCGGUCUACGGAUGGUAGGUUGUGCUCAUGUCCAGCCGUGUUCCUUGGGAGUGUUGUAGUGAUUGCCAGAAUCUUGAGGUGAACCUACUAUCUCUAUCGGAGAUAAUGGACAUAGGUACACCAUGUAGCCAUACGAUUUCCCUAAUGUAUGUUCUCGUAAGCUUCUCCAUCUUGUCAGUUUCUUUGAUAGGUAGGAAGUGUGCAGACUUGGUCAAUCUAUCGACGAUGACCCAUAUGGUAUCAAGUCCACCCGUUGUCUUGGGCAACUUGGUUAUGAAAUCCAUAGUGAUCCGCUCCCACAUCCAUUCUGGAAUCUCUGGUUGUUGCAGUAAACCGAAGGGCUUCCGAUACUCGACCUUAACCUUUGCGCAAGUAAGGCAUUUACUUACGAAUGUAGCAAUCUCUGCUUUCAUAUUAGGCCACCAGUAUAGCUUUUUAAGAUCUAGAUACAUCUUAUCUGAACCUGGGUGGAUGGAAUACCGAGUGUUGUGCGCCUCGGUCAUGACCAAGUCUCGGAAACCACCGUGUUUCGGUGUCCAGAUCCGGUUCAUGAAAUAUAAGGCCCCACCACCCUUGAUUUCUAGGCUUUUAUCCAUUCCUCUAAGGGAUUCACUCGUCACAUUUUCAGGUUUCAUGGCUUCAAGUUGGGCCGCCUGAAUUUGUUUAGACAAGUGUGAAUGGAUAGUUAUUGACAAUGACUUGACCCUGCGACUAGAGUAUUCCUUCCGACUUAGGGCGUCUGCUACUACGUUGGCUUUACCCGGAUGAUAACGAAUAUCGUAUUCAUAGUCACUGAGUAGCUCAACCCACCUUCGUUGUCUCAUGUUGAGCUCCUUCUGAUCGAAAAUGUGUUGUAAACUCUUGUGGUCGGUAAAGAUAGUGCUUUUCUUUCCGUACAAGUAAUGUCUCCAGAUCUUUAGCACAAACACAACUGCCCCUAGUUCAAGAUCGUGGGCCGUGUAGUUAACUUCGUGCGUUUUCAGCUGUCUCGAGGCGUAGGCGAUGACCUUACCUCGCUGCAUUAGAACACACCCGAGUCCUUGAUUCAAUGCACCGCAAUAGACUACGAAGUCUUCUAUUCCUUCGGGAAGGGAUAGUAUUGGUGCGGUGCACAAGGCUCGCUUGAUUGUUUGGAAUGCUCUCUCAUGUCUCUCUUCCCAGUCAAAGGCCACACUUUUCUGGGUCAGGGUUGUCAGAAGUUUCGCUAUUCGGGAGAAGUUCUGUAUGAACCUGCGGUAGUAGCCAGCGAGGCCUAGAAAUUGACGAAUUUCUGUAGGCGUCUUCGGUGCUGACCAGUUCUCAAUGGCUUUAAUUUUGGAUAGGUCCACGUGGAUUCCCUCUUCGCUUACCACGUGUCCUAAGAAUUUGACUCUUCGGAUCCAAAAUUCACAUUUCGAGAACUUCGCAUAAAGUUUCUCCUUUCGCAAUGUCCCUAGAACUUGUCGCAGGUGAUCGCCAUGCUCUUCUUUACUUCGGGAGUAGAUCAGGAUGUCAUCAAUGAAAACGAUGACGAACUGAUCCAAGUAAGGUCGGCAUACUCUAUUCAUCCGGUCCAUGAAGACUGCGGGCGCAUUGGUCAAUCCGAAUGGCAUCACCACAAACUCGUAGUGUCCGUAACGAGUUCGGAAGGCUGUCUUCGGCACAUCCUCUUCUAGUACUCGUAACUAGUGAUAUCCGAAUCUCAGAUCAAUUUUGGAAAAAUAGUUCGCUCCUUGCAGUUGGUCAAAUAGAUCGUCUAUGCGAGGCAGAGGGUAACGAUUUUUGACCGUCAGUUUGUUGAGUUCUUUGUAGUCAAUACACAUACGGAAUGAUCCGUCUUUCUUCUUAAUGAACAAGACCGGUGCUCCCCAAGGUGAGAAACAUGGUCUUAUAAAGCCCUUGCUGAGCAGUUCGUUAAGUUGAACAGAGAGUUCCUGCAUCUCAGUUGGUGCUAAACGGUAGGGCGACUUGGCUACUGGGGUAGCUCCUGGGACUAAGUCGAUUCUGAACUCGACCUGUCGCUGCGGAGGUAAUCCAGGUAGCUCUUCUGGGAAAAUGUCGGGGAAGUCGCUCACUACUGGGAUGUUCUUUAGUUCUUUCGGUUCGAGGCUAGUAUCGACGACGUGAGCAAGGAAUGCAUGGUAUUCUUUACGCAGAUACUUUUGUGCUUGAAUACUUGAUAUCAUACGAAGACUCGCACCAGGUUUGUCGCCGUAGACGAUAAGAGUUUCGUUAGACGGAAGGUUUAGACGGACUGCUUUCUCGUAGCACAUGAUGUCGGCGCGAUGAAGACUUAACCAUUCCAUGCCGAUGAUAACGUCGAAGCUUUUUAUUGAGACCGACAUGAGGUCGAUUGGGAAUGAAUGGUUAUCUAUAGUUAGCGUACAACUUAAGUAUAUGCUAUUCGUACUUUCUAUUUUUCCAUUAGCCAUUUCUACUGUGAAUUGUUCUUUGAGUGCGUGUGGUGGUUGUUUAAGCAUGCGAGCAAAUUUAUGGUUUACGAAGCUUCGCUCUGCUCCACUAUCGAACAGAAUGCAUGUAUAGGAGUUAUCGAGGAGGAACGUACCAGUCACCACUGUCGGGUCAGCAAUUGCUUCCCCAUGGCCUAUAGCUAGUACCCUUCCUGCUCCACCAGCAUUCUUUGCUUUGGGGCAGUCCCUCUUAUAGUGGCCUACUUCGUCACAUCCAUAGCAGGUCGGGCUCGUGCCAGAGCCGGGGACUUGGGUGAUCGGCUUCGCCGGGAAUUUACAGAAACGGACGGUGUGUCCUUUCCUGUUGCAGUUAGAGCACUGCAUUUCACAGCAGGGGCCGUUGUGGUGGAAGUUGCAUUUGUUUCACUUAGGCAAACUUCCAGCAUACUGCCUCACCGGAGCAGUAGCAGCAGCAGGGGUUAUCCGGACAUGUACAACCAUAAUUUGCUGCUUUUUGGCAGCUCGCUGUCUCUUCUUCUCUUCCCAGAAUUUCCGCUUAGUGUCAGCGGGUUUGGAGUGUUCCGGGAUGGUUAGGGUGGUUGCUGUUGCAGAGGUUUUGACUCCAUGGUCAAUGAGUCGCUGUGCCAGUCGCUUGGCACUGUCGAAGGUAGCGGGGUUUGAUGUUGGGACAUUACCCUGAUACGGAGGCACUAACCCCCAUAUGUACCUUUCGAUCUUUUUCCCUUCAGUGGGAACAAUAUUGGGGCAGAGGGCCACCAGUUCGUUGAAUCUAGCGGUAUAAGCAACCAUGUUGGUGCCCUUCAUGGUCAGGCUCCAAAGCUCUUGCUCCAAUUUCUGGACUUCGCCCCAUGGGCAGUAUUCCUCAAUCAUGAGGUCUUUCAUCGUUUCCCAGCCCAUGUCGUUGGCUAUGACGAGGGUUAGAGCUUUAACGUGGUCGUUCCACCAUGUCAGGGCCUUUCCCUCAAAGGUGCAUGCGGCAUAUUUGACUUUGCUCGCAGUUGGGCAUGAAUAGAUUUCGAAGACUGAUUCAGUCUUCUCGACCCAUUGCGAGAGGGAAAUGACUCCGCCGGUGCCAUGGAAGGGCAUCGACUUAUAGUUGGUGAAAUCCUUGUAGGAACACUCUCUCGAGCGCACAGGGGUUUCAACCGGAAUUGAUUCCACAUGGGUUCCACCUCUACUGGCAUCAGAUGAGUGAUACUGAGCCAUGGCAGUUGCCACUGCUGCAGCUACGGCAGCAUUCAGGGCUGCAGUAUCGAUGACCAGAGGCGGAGGAGGCGGUGGAGGUGCAGGGUUAUUCCGGGUAGAUUUGCGAGGAGGCAUCUUUCAGUUAUAAGUUUAUAAAGAUGAGAAAAAUGGUAAGAAUCAAUUUGUAAGCAACGUGAGAGUGAUGCAUGGACUAACUAACCAUAGCCCAACAGUUGAAUGAGUGUUUGAGAUCACAACAAGGAAUAUUAGUAGGAAACACAAAUGUAUAGAUUCUUCCCACAGAUUAGAUAGAUGUCAAUAAUACUGGUAUUACCGAUGUAAUAAGUUCAGGGAAAAUCGACCAAACAGUAGGUCUUACAUCAUACCAUACGAAAAAGUUUGAUGGUUCCUAGAUUCCUAAUUUGAGUACUGAAAGUUAGGAAUAUUUUACAGAUAUGUGCUACUUAGAGCACAGAUGUUAAAGGCUAUUCAUUAACCAAAAGAUAGAGAUGUACUAGACAUCAUCUAACAGCGAUGAGAAUUCCUCGGGCGAGUCCUGAGGUCUGACACUUGACGAAACACCUCUUGAAGGUGUCGCUCCUAAGUCCUCUGGCGGGUUCGAAGUUCCAAGACUUUAGCUCGGGAGGCAGCUAGCUGUUGCUGCAGGGUUUCAAUGGUUCUCCGGGUCCAUUCCAUGUCUUCCUCAAGACGGCGGAUGCGGACUGUGUUGACACCUGAGUUGGCAUCAAUCUCCAUGACCCGGUCGAUGAUUGCUUGACCUUGCUCAACAUUACGAGCUAUUCUGCGGAUAAUGACGGGCAAAGCUCGGUCAGCAGAACCACCUUCACUGACGUUGUAAAAUCUUCGGUCCCCAAAGUAUGGUAAGGGUUGACCCUGUUCGUCACUCCAGCGAUUCAAGUUGGUUUCCCACAAGGGUGUAGGACCUGGAAAAGCUGGUCGGGGGUUGUUGUUCGGGCUUGACCUACUAGCGGUAGGUUGUUGACUUCAGGCUCGGAGUUGGAUCCAUCAGAAAAGCCUUCUGCGAGGUGAUCAUCCAAAGGGAUUGGAUGCUCAUCUUCGGGCUCUUCUUCGAUCCACCCGGCAUUGCCUUCAUUUGGAAAGUACGGGUCGCCGUGAUGGAAUCCAUCCAUUUAAAUCUAUGCGAGAAGAGAGGUAUAAGAAUAUAGUAUACAUGUAGCUAGUAGUACGAAAUACACCUAUAGUAUUUUAAGUUUAAGUUAUGCUGAUCUUCUUGUGGUAUUGUUGGUAAGUUUUUAGACUUGUUAACACAUCACAACCAUUCUAGGGCAUAAGCUAAUCACUCCUCGGGCCAACAUAGUUGAUCAGGCUAUGCCAUUCCCAGGACUGACCAUACAUCCCCGAGCUCACUUGUGAUAUUUAACAAUUGUAAUACUUUUGUUCUUGUCAUUGUGACACUGAUUUUAGUAUGAAUGCAGACUAGUAUACUUAAUUAAAUAUUUUAAUAUUUAAAGUAUAGACUCUUGGUCAGAGUGCUUUAAUCCCUAAUGGGUUUAUAGUUUAGUAUAUCUUUUAUGGGUUGAUAUACUUGAUUCACUAUAAACAAUGCUCUGAUACCAAUCUGUCACACCCCAAAACCAAGAACGGCGGAAACGUUCUGGGGCGGAGGACGUCAUGUAAAGUAUCACAACACAGUAAAUGUAAAUAAGCAAACAACAUCAUCCAUUGCAUUAAAUAUAUAAUUUUAAUACAAGCGUGUUCUGUACANNNNNNNNNNNNNNNNNNNNNNNNNNNNNNNNNNNNUGUCACACCCCAAAACCAAGAACGGCGGAAACGUUCUGGGGCGGAGGACGUCAUGUAAAGUAUCACAACACAGUAAAUGUAAAUAAGCAAACUACAUCAUCCAUUGUAUUAAAUAUAUAAUUUUAAUACCAGCGUGUUCAAUACAGUUUUAGACACCAAAAAUAUAAUGUAAAUCAAAAUAAUAAGUUGAGUCUUGUAUGCGCUCCAUCUUCUCAAAAGCUGGCCUCGGUACCUGUCUACUGAUGACCUGACAAUACAAGUUAUUUUGAAAGAGUUUAUCAGCAUUAAGCUGGUGAGUUCAUAAGUAUUUUAGUGUCGAUGUUUGUUACCAAAAUGUUUGAACAUGUCUCAAGUGUAAGUUUGUAAAAUGUAAGUAAAUGUUUGUAAGUGUUUGUAAAAGUUUGAAUCUCUCAGAAAAACCUAUAUUUUCUAUUAAAGUAGCCUUCUACCAAGGCUUAACUGUUUUGUAUGCUCGUUUGUUGUAAAAGUGUGUAAUUUCCCAAGUGUAACUAUCAUAUAACAAAAUAUAGUUUGUACAUUAAUGUUUAAGUGAAAUAAUCACUAAAAAUAUGUAAUGGGUAAAUCAUUGUAGUACUGUAGUUUUGUAUUAUAGGAACUACUGCUGUACUAACUACCUUAAACCGGAUUUAUAUUAAGGUAUCAUGUGACUAAUUGCACCAUACUAUCGACUGGUAACAACGACAUACGAAUGGUCGUAAUAACGGAAUGACGUUUGGCACCCGCAGACCUGCAGGUCCGGCUGUAGCUAGCAGCAAGGUGUAGGAUAGUCAAUCCAGUAUAGAUCUAUACGCAAACUCACGCUCUCCCUUCAAGAGACUCUGUCUACAACUCGGGCCAUGGCAUUUAAGUCAUGCUCCGAUUCAUAUCACAAUAAUGAACGUAUUCUAGUAUAUGUAAUGUAAUGAACUGUUCUAGUAUAGUUGUAUAUGUUCUUCCUCUAGUAUAGUUGUAUAUGUUCUUCCUCUAGUAUAGUUGUAUAUGUUCUUCCUCU